ensembl:lncRNA
GUAAAAUAGGUACCUAAUGGAUUGGCAGAUGAGUGUAUUUUAUUUUAUUUUUUUUACAUUAGACAUCACGUCUAACAUAAGCUCAAAAACAGACUAACAACUCAAAAUGUCCCCAUAUUUCCAUACAUCACACCCAAACAUUGCAAUUUAUUCCCAGGACAUGCGCUACAUGUGAGCACACCCAGAGGUCUUGGAAAAGGAAAAUGUGUAAUUACUAAUAAGUACAUUUAAAUACUGCAUAAAGCAAAAGGUUUCAGUUUGAGAAGUGUCCUAAAUAUUUGUGUCAAAUGGUGCCAUUGACAAACAAGUACAGCCACUCGCUCUUACAGAUCCAGACCCAACCAGAUAAAGGCGGGCUUCAUGCAUGUGUAAACACUUUCAAAGGCCAACAUUUUUGGAUGUUAUAGAUGUUUAAUGUAUCUAUGUUAAAAUGCAAACCACUGAUACCUUGGCCUUGGCACUGCUUAUUGCUCAUAGGAUGAUGACAGUGGUAGCCAAUUAACACUGGGAUAUCCAAGCCAGGAAGGGCAGAGUGAAAGUCUUUCCUCUUUUGGCAGACUCAGUGGGGGUGGCAGAUGGUACUUAGACAGGCUAAGCUGUGUACUUCUGUCUCUGUAGAGAUUAGAAACCAGGUGCUCCCUUGUAAACGUGACUGCAGGCCAAUCAAUAAAGCCUUUGUUAAGUUUAUCUUCUUUGAUUCUAUUCUCUUUAAUUCUAUUUAACCAGCUUGAAUUUGGAAUCAACUCCAAGAUGAAACAACCUCUAGAGGGCAUCAAAACAUUCCAGUUCAAUGGAUUAAGUGGUGUAAAUUUAUUUUAAAUAAUCAUUAUUCUCCAUUUAGGAUUUUCUGGUCUUUGGAUGAUCUUUAGGCUUGUUAGAAAAUAUGCAACAAAACCCACAAAUGAUACAUCAAGCUAUACAGAAAAAAGCAGCUGUGAUCAGUGUAAUCUCCUCUGUGUGGCCUCAGAGUAAAUCCAAGAGUAAGAGUGGCUUAGUAAAGAGUCCCUUCAGACAUUGUACAGUGACUGGAGCAGCCAGAACCAGUGCAUCCAACCUAUGAAACCUGCUUAGAGGCAUUUUGGAAAUAGACUUUCAUAAACCAAGAGGCUCACCAAAGCUAAAAAAAAGUGUGAAGCAGCUUGGUCUUUUAUUAAUAUUGUCAAGAAUAUAUCCCAUACAUCCCAUCAUUUAAUUCUUAUUCAUAUUGCUUGUUCUUGCUAAGUUAACCCUUGAAGAUUUAGGCAUGCUACAUUCACAAAGGAUAUUUUGUGAGUUUUUUUCCCCCAUACAAGUAGGCUAGCUUAAAUAGUUUUAUAGUGUUGUCUACAUAACUGACAGUUGUGUUUAUGGUACAAUAUUUAUUUAUUUUUAAAAAAGUAUAAACCAUGUUGUUCCAUAAGAUUGGACCCUUCUUUUGUUGAACUGUCAACUGAAAGUGUAAACCUUUCUAAAUCUGACAGAGCAGGAAGCUGCUGCUAAUGCUAGCCAGGGUUCUCAGGAAGUAGCUGCUAAUGCUAGCCAGCAUUCUAACAAAGUCAUUUCCUGGACCAGCUGGAACAGUGGCUGUUUUGGUCCAAGAGUUUUUCCUAACAUAAUCUAUGGACUGGUAUUGUUAUUUUUUUUUUAAAAUAAUAAUAAAGAUACAAAAAAGCAUAUUUGUCACAGAUACAAAGCAGAGUUAAAAGAGCGAGGAAGUAUUGAAGCUGGGACUAGCAUAACAAUUUGGGUUAUUUUGACUAUAAGUCUAGUGCUGGUCUAGUCCCUGAUAUUCUGUUUGUAGUGUUCAAGAACCAGGACAUAUAACAUCACUUCUUUUCUUUUGACGGCUUCCCAUUGAUCAGGCCGGACUCCCAGCGUUGCCAGAGAGAAGCUUUCUGUCCUCCUGCUCGGUGAACUUUUGGCUCCUGCUGUGAGAUAAGACGAAGAAAAACAAAAACAACCUGGAUUUAGAGUGAGAGAUUAGCUCCUGCUUUCUCAAUUCACAAUCAAUUAUACUUAUCCAAGCAUUUCUACAACAAAGAGGAUACUUUAAACUUAAUGUUUUUCUUUUAUUUGUUUAGUAUUUGUUUAGUAUUACAAAAUUUGAAAUUCUGAGCUCUGUAGCAACUCUUUUCAAUGCUUCUGUAUGGAAUUCAGUGCAAUACACAAAACAGGACCUUUUUAUAAUCCUCUGUUCUUGCCAGUGUUUAGCAAUACAUCCAAUAGUUUUACAGAACAAUGAAGAAAACAGUAAAUGUAGAAUUAAGGCUUGUUGCAGGUGAAUCACCUCUAUCUGCUCCAGUUUUAUCUGGUCCUUUUUAGAAGGAGGUGGCCAAACCCGCUCCAGUUUCCCCCGUGACUGUUUCCUGCUGUCUGUAGGACAGAAAGAGAAAAAGAACAACUAAGUAGCUCAGUAGCUAAGCUACUAUAUUUGGUAAGAUUAGCAGCUCUCUACUGCUUAGACUGAUUUUAGAAGUUUUAGGGUAGUUCUGAGAAUCUACACAGUUCUAUUGUAAUGACAACUGCGUCUCUGCUUGCGCAGCUCCUCUUCUCUUUCUUUGGCUUCUCGGAUGUCCUUCUCUACCUCUGGUUGUAGAGCCAGGGCUGGGCGCAAUUUGAAGAAUGGGUUUUGCUUGAGGAUUGAAGACUCUUUGUUUGCAUUUGCUGCCUUUGCUUUACCCUCCACAGCUAACGUAGAGAAGUCAUUGCUUAUAGAGUCCAUGCUUCUGUACAGGCGAAUGUUUUUGUCUUGUUUUGGGUAAGGGGAUAAGCGAGUUUUGUCUCGUGACCCUCCAGUUGGGCUCUUUGAUCUGAUGCUGUCAGGACUUUUUUCCUUCUCAAGAUUUGCAGAUUGGUACAGCCUGAGGGAAUGUGCUCUGGAAACAGGACAAGUUUUGAGGGAAAACAUCUCAAGGCUACGUGUGCGCUCUAGCACUGAAGGGUAAAUGUGACCUUUCCUCAGAGUUGUGGGGGAUUUACGGUGUCUUGUUGGACCCUCCGGAUUGUCCUGCUGGAAGGCUUCAAACAGCAGUUUUGUCUCUUUUAACUGGCGGAUCUCUCCUUUGCUGUACCCCCCUGGGAUUUUACCUUGAUUGACCAGCACUAGUUCUCUCUGAAUAUCCUGACUUAUCUCUUUGAGCAUCUUCUGUUCAGAGAAUUGCCACUCGUUGCAUUGGCUUGUACCUACCUUGGUAGUGAGUGACUCAAGAGAGAUAUCUGUUUUAAAGGGAAUCUCCAGCACAUCUGGAUUUUCUGCAAGAUUGAAAACACCUCCAGCUCUCUGCAGCUUCUGCUUCCCCUGGGCUGCCUCAUGGAGCUGCCUCUCCAUGUAGGUUUCAGCAGCUGAAAAUCGGUGUCCAGUGGAAAGAAAUGGAAUUUCAUUAGAAGUUUCAUGAGGAUUACUGGGAGUCAAAUCUGUAGGCUCCCAGCUAUCACUCUGAUUGUCAUUAGAGUCACUCGGAUCUAUUCUGACAACCCUCUGGUCUUCUUCUGACUCUCCUGGAAUUGUGGAUGAAGAUGUCCUUGCUCUUGUUUGAAUGUCUUUGUCCUCAUUAUUUUCCUUUUCCAUCAGGCUCACCUUUUCUUCAUCUUCCUUAAGAGUUUCGAAUCUGCCUUCUUCCCUCUCUUCUUCACUAGGUAUAUUCUCUGUUUCAGUCCCAAACAUGCCCUUUUUUUCAUCCAUCAUGACAGCCUGCUGUUGGGUAUCAGCGUUCUCUGACAUUUUCACAUCAUGUCGUAGCUGUACCAGCUGCAGACGAUGAAGCAGUUGCUCACCUUGUUGGAUAUCAGUAGAUAUUUUCCUGCUUCCAUCCUCUUGCUCCCCCAUUGUCUCUCUUUCUUCAGAACCUUUGGAGCUGGAUAGCACUUGCAUUUCUGUGCUGCCGCUUUCUUUCCUCACACAGUCGCACUUUAUGAGGUUAUAAUCCAAAGAUGUACGGUCAUCAUGCUCUUCAUUGUCUUUGUCCGUAUCUGUUUGGAAGUCAGCAGCCUGUGCCUGACUGGUUGCUGUAUCGGUCCUGUUUUGGUUGCAUUUACAGAGCUUGAAAUCAUCAUCGGAAUUUGCCUCCACACUCUCGAUAGCUAUACUUUCUCUUAAUAGUUUUAAGUCUGUUUCAUCAAAAUCACCAAUGUCCUUGUGUUUUAUUUUGUCUCCGUCUUUGUCUAAAUGGAUCUGAUUCUCAGAGUCUUCUCUGUGGUUUGAAUGUGUUUGUUUUGGGUAACUGUCUUCCUCCGUAUUGGCUUCCCAGCAGUUUCCCUGUUCUUCACUUAUAAUUACAAUGUCCUCUGGUUUGUCAUUCUCUGUUGCGUUAUUCCCGUAAGGUCUUCGAUCUGUAUCAUAACCAGUUUCCAUCAGACAACCAGUCACAUCCAUGGAUUGUUGUUCUUGAUAAGUUGGUGGAGAGGAGUCUUGUUCAUUGGAUAUGUUGGCCAUAGACAACUGCACUGCACUUGCAGUCACCUCUUCAUCCAGCUCGUUUCGUGCUACCAUUAACUGCUCCUCACUAUGAGACAAGUCUAAGCCUCUUGGAUUAGCUUCAGCCUCUGUUGCGUCAACUGAAAGGGUCACACCAGACUUACUUGCUGUUGCACCUGUGCUUUUCUCUGCUGGCAGCGAUGUAGCCGUGCGAGGUGGAGGAGGUGGUUGAGGGAUGAAGACAUCAUCUGCACCUUCAUCAUCCAUCACACUGUAGUACCUCAUUAUAGCAGUGGGAGCAGCAGAGAUCGUUGUGAUUUUGUCUUCAGAGGUCGCUGAAAAAUUCUCUGUGUGGUUGCUCACAUGGUUUGAAUCCAUCUUCAUCCACAGACCACUGUCAUCAUCAGAAAGUAGAAUUUGAGGGCUGCGUCUAGGACCUCUUGCUUCCAUGUUGAAACGUCUUUGAAGCAGUUUGUGGUGUUCUGUCUGCGUUGCCUUUUAAUAAAAUUUAAAUAAGAGACAUGAGUGUCAUUGAGGCUUAUAAGCGUCAGUGCUAGUAAUUGU